GCCGCGGUGGUGAAAUUGGUAUACACGCAGGACUUAAAAUCCUGUUCCUGAAUAAGGAGUGAGAGUUCGAGUCUCUCCCGCGGCA
rnacentral:tRNA from 1 species